AGACUGUCUCAUCUCGCUGUGUCCUUCCUGCUGACGGAGACUCGCUCAGCUUUACUGUCACUGCUGAUUUCUCUUCUGAGGACCUAAGAAAGGAGCUGUUAUGUCUGAAAAAGAGUCUGGAGAAGAUCAGGCAGUGGGCCAUCAUCACAUUGAGUCCAUCAGGUUGUGAAGCUCCAAUCUUCACCCUACAGCCUGAACCUCAGAGCAGAGAGGAGUUUUUACAAUACUUCUGUCCACUCACACUGGACAUCAACACGGCACACAGAGACCUCCAUCUGUCUGAAGGGAACAAGAAGGUGACAUGUGAGAGGACAAAGCCUGAAUAUUCUGAUCAUCCUGACAGAUUUUACUACUGGGAACAAGU